UACGUAGGGUCCGAGCGUUGUCCGGAAUUAUUGGGCGUAAAGGGCUCGUAGGCGGUUUGUCACGUCGGAAGUGAAAUCUUACAGCUUAACUGUGAACUUGCUUUCGAUACGGGCAGACUUGAGGCAUUCAGGGGAGAACGGAAUUCCUGGUGUAGCGGUGAAAUGCGCAGAUAUAGGAGGAACAGCCGGUGGCGAAGGCGGUUCUCUGGGAAUGUACUGACGCUGAGGAGCGAAAUGUGUGGGGAGCGAACAGG
rnacentral:rRNA from 1 species